UGGGGAAUAUUGCACAAUGGGCGCAAGCCUGAUGCAGCCAUGCCGCGUGUAUGAAGAAGGCCUUCGGGUUGUAAAGUACUUUCAGCGGGGAGGAAGGCGUUGUGGUUAAUAACCACAGCGAUUGACGUUACCCGCAGAAGAAGCACCGGCUAACUCCGUGCCAGCAGCCGCGGUAAUACGGAGGGUGCAAGCGUUAAUCGGAAUUACUGGGCGUAAAGCGCACGCAGGCGGUCUGUUAAGUCAGAUGUGAAAUCCCCGGGCUCGACCUGGGAACUGCAUUUGAAACUGGCAGGCUUGAGUCUCGUAGAGGGGGGUAGAAUUCCAGGUGUAGCGGUGAAAUGCGUAGAGAUCUGGAGGAAUACCGGUGGCGAAGGCGGCCCCCUGGACGAAGACUGACGCUCAGGUGCGAAAGCGUGGGGAGCAAACA
rnacentral:rRNA from 1 species